UGGACCCUGAAGAGCAGCAGGGCUGUGGCCAGCCAGCGCCCAGAGGAGAGGACCCCGGCUCGCCCGAGUCUCUGUGGUGGAGUGAUUAAACAAACCUCAGCCUCAGAGGGUCAGCUGGCCCCAGACGGUGACUCAGAGGGGCUGCUCUUGGGAGGGACCCGAGUGGCAGUGGGGUAGGUGGGACCUUUGCUUUCUGUGUCUGGUGGCUCUCCAUCUGGGCUCAAUGACCUCAUGAAGCCGACUCAGGCCGCCCACCCUUCUCUCACAGAGGGACACUCAGGCCUCACGUGGGUGUUCCCGGCUCUGCAAGGCCAGGGUCAGGGUGGUGGCCUGGGAAGGCCCGGCUCUGUGCUCUUGCUGACCAGCUCAUCGCCCCUGGGGAGCCAGCCCCACCUCCAGGACUGGCCACUCUAAGCAGCAGCCAGCACUCUGUGGGAAGGGACAGUGGCCCUGCUGCAGGAAAAGGACCUUGUAAAGACACUUUUUCAGCCAGGGCUUUGCAAACUGGGGAGCACUGUGUGGUCACCUGUGUCCAGUCACUAAGGGCUGAGACCAACAUGUGCAAGGCCCCGGGGCAUAGCCACGUCCGGGGCAGAGGUGGGUGUCCUCUGCUGUCCCCUGCCAGAGCCUCUCCUCACACUUCCUGUCUGGAUCAGAGCCCUAGUCUGAAGCCUGAGGCUGCUGAGCAGAUGACCCCUGUAGGCCCGAGGCAGUGCUCCUCCACCCCCUCCCUCCCUCAGGGCCGUGGACCAGCUCCGAGUGCCUGAGGGUGACCCGAAACUCCCUGUAGCCAUGACAGUGGGCCCAGCUCUUGGGAACCCAGGCUGGCCACCACAGCACACUCCCGGUCAGUCCGUGUAGUGCCAUACACUCCAUUCAUCAUAAUUAUUUUAAUUAAGAAGAUAAGAAACAGCUCAUCAAAGAUUUAAUUAUAAUGAGCAGCUAACAACACUUGGAUGAGUCACAUGACCCGAGUGGCUGCUGGUUCUCACCUCCCUGUCAGGCACCGAAGACAGCGCAGGAGGCACCCAGAAGGUAGGGUCCCGGCCUCCCAACACCGUGAGGGGCCCCGCCAGCCCUGACUGUCCCCAGUUGGGAGGACCGUCCUGGUGUGGCCACUGGCCUGAGCUCAGGAGGGUGCACAUCCCAUGGUGUCCUCGAUCUCCGUGGAGGACAUUCGCUUUGUGCCCCGCCCUGGCCACACCCACCACAGGGCACGCUCUCCAGGCCAGCUCCUGGUUCACUGCUGGGACCCGAGGAAGGAGCACAUGGAGGGCCCGGGAGCUCUCUCGGCUGGGCCUGGGGCUGGGAGCUGGGUACAGGGAAGACUUCCUGGAAGGGCCUGGGCCUGGCUUGAGAGUGGGUGGCAGCCUGCAGGCCACCUGGGGACACUGGCCUAGAACCCACAGAAACAGGGGCAGUGGGAGCAGCUUGAGAUGGGCACCAGUAGUGUGUGCUGGGCCCACUGCCCGGGCUCCGUGUACCCUGGUAGUGCGAUGUCACCUUCAGAGGCCCCUGUCUCCUUUGGGGAUGCUGACCCUGCCCUCACAGAAUGGAAGGAGGCUGCCACGGCCUGCCUGAUCUAGGCUGGACAUGGAGUGGGCAGAAGGGCACCAGAGCCCCAGCGCAGGCCGGAGGUGCUGGGGUCAGGGCUCACCUCUUUCCAGACAGCCUGGGUCACAGCCGGGAGCUCUGAGCACCCAGGGGACAUGAGGCCCUGUCCCUGCUCUCCUGCUCUUGCUGGUCACUGGCAGAGGCGCCGUGCUGAGCCGGCCUGGCCCUGAUGUGGAGUGCUGCUGGCCCCGGGCCCUGAGGAGGUCCUUUUCCUCUUCCGGCAGCACUGCCCGGCCUCUGCCUGUCUUCCCUGGCCCCCAGCCCCUCACGCCUCCUGGUCUUGAAGCAUCUCUCCUUCCUCUUGUGACCCUAGUCAUUGGAUUGGGGUCCACCUUCAGUCCAGGGUGAUCAUAUCUUGGUAUCGGAGUCACCUCUGCAGACACCAAAUAAGGUCACAUUUACAAGUGUCAGGGUUUGGAUGUGGACACAGCAUUGGGGACAGAUACUGAAACCGUGUGGCUGGUGGCAAGUCACUGACCCUCUCUGAGCCUCUGCUUACACACAUUGAGUAGGAGCCUCCCUCUGAGGGAAGCCAAGGACCAGUGGGUCCAUAUUCCAUGGCCUGUCCAUAGCAGGUUCUCAGGGCCUUCCGAGAAUUAGGACCAGAGGAUGGGAACAGACACUGUCUCAGGGACUUGGUAGUCCUCCCCCGUGGCUACCGGGGGCAGUACUGAGCUCAUCUGUCCCUGGGUCAGACACGGGCCUCCACCUCCCUCGGGGAGGCAGGGACAUCACUUCCCGGGUCCUUCCAGGCCUCCAGCCAGGAGGCCCUCUAGGUAUUGCACACCCGUUCAAGCUGAAAGAAAUUGCAAACCAAAUUAGCCAAAGAUUUAAUAGAAAUUGAUUUUGACUUAAAGCCCUUCGAGUGCUCACUCUGCAGAUGGCCACUCCGCUGACCGCCCCACUGUGUCUGAUCUGAUCUGGGACCUUGCAGGGCUCCUCCUGAUGAGGCAGCUUUUCUUAUUGUCUCCCGGUGACCACUGAGCUCCACCUCCAGGCUGCACGGGAAUCGGUGUCCUCUCUCCUUCCAACCUGGCGUCUCUGCACACGAGAAGAAACAUUCCCCUGAACUGAGUUGGAGCUGACAUCUUGCUGCGGGAGCCUAGAAGCAUCAGGUGUGAAGGACGUGCAGCCCUCUCCUGGCCCAGAAUCAUGCUGGUGACCCACUACGAGGAGAUGCAAGUGUACAGAUGAGCAAGACAGGAGCAGUUCUCAUUGCUGAAUUUCAAAUAAAAUAAAAAGAAAAGUGCUUUUGAGGACACUCAAGCCCUUCAGACGGUGACUCCGCCGCUGGCCGUGACAGAGCCUGACUCCUGCCCAGGAAGGUGCCGCGCAUCCCUGGGACCACACAGGUUCCUUCUGAUCCUAUUUCUGGAAGCUGAAAGCUGGAGAGAUGGAUGUGGCUCUUUGAAGCUUGACGGGGCUCGGGGAGGCGGGUCCUGGCCGCCGCAGCAUUUCUCUGAGAGAAGAAAGAGGCCGGUGCCCGGAGACCCCGCGCUCCCACGAGGGCUUCUGUGUUUAGAGACGCUUUUCCUCCAGGGGAUGCUCACUGGCCGCCCAGAGAGGCCACAGGUAGCAGUAAGCAUGGCUCUGCCCACCCCUCAUCCACCCUCUUUCUUAGGUAUCGAUCGACUCCCUGUUUCCUCCCAAAGGACCCCUCCCAAGCCAGCCACCCCGACUGUGACCCAAGCCAGCUAAUCUGCGUCCGGGGGGAGACAGAAGUUUAUAGGAAGCCAAGAGUAGUAGCUCUGUGCCUGGAGUGUCCAUGACCACCUAUGUCCCCCUGGAGUGGAAGCCAAAUAAAACUACACAGGAAAGCAGAGGAGAGAGAGAGAGAGACUCGCGUGACCUUUGAGAUUGUACAGUCUAAACCUCCUGGAUCCAGCUGUGCCUGAAGCUCAUCAUCUGCCCCUUACAUUUUCCAAUUCUAUGGAGCAAUCAACUGUCCUAUUUCAAGUUUUGAGAGAGACAUCUGCCAUUUGCACAGGAAAAAUCUCUGACCACUAAGUUAGAAGCCACCCUCGGGACUGGUCUGGCUGGCCAGCUGCCUCCUGGAGGCACAAGUGCCAGACAGGACGCCACCACUCUGGGGGGAAGAGCCAUCUUGCUGGGGGUGGGGGGCUCUCACCAGGCCCUGCAGCCUCUUCAGCUGAGGUCACGGCUCAGAGACCACAAAAGGCAGGGCCACCUCCAGGCAGGAAAACCCACCCUGCUACAGCACCCUCCACAGGGGCCACCCCCACGCGUCCAGCCUGCCGCCAGCCCCUGAAUGAUGUUGUGAAGCACAAAGUUUAAGUCAGGGUCUGGCUGCACGGGCCUGCAGCAGGGCCAGCUCCUCUGGCCACACUCAUCAGGAGGUUCUCUGGGCCUCCGGGCGCGUGUUGGAGGAGCUGCGAGGCAGGGUCGGGCUGCGGGUGGCCAACUCUUGGCAGGCACUCUGGUGCCGCACAGGCCCCCAGCGCACCUCCUGCUGCCACCUCCACUCCCGCCUCGGGCACUGGCUGGUCAGCGGGCCACGGGCAAGGCGUCCCUGUCCCUUGCCACACACCUCUCCAGCUCACGCCUCCAUACUCACGGACCACCACAAAGGCCAGUCGGCCACGCAGCGCUUGGUCUGAGGAGCCUAAGAACAGGUGGGGCACCCGCAAGGACACCCCAGGGCUGGCGCAGAGGUACGGCCAGCCGCCGUGAGCGCCCAGGGCCUACCUGGCCUCUCGCUCCCUCCCUCACCUCCCCGUGAAUCUAUUUUAAAAGAUCAUAGUUUUCUUUACAUCCACCUCGGAGCUGUGCCAGGGAGAAGGGGGGCACACACAUGUCGGACUGGCCGCGGGGAAAGCCGCCGGGUAGCGCAGCCCAGCUGGGGGCUCCCGCAGACCCCCGUCCAGCCCCCCGCCCUGCCAGGUGGAGGCAGAGGCCAUGCUGCACCCCCUUGGGGACCUGGGGGCCCUCACCUGGCUCCACACUGGUGUCCCAGGGCUUGAGGCAGGGCCUGGGGAUCUGGGGGGACCCAGCAUGUGAGCGGCCACCUGUAUUGGGCCCGUGCUUCCCCAAAGCCCACCUGGGCAGGCGGCUGAGCACAGCCCUGGCUUCCACCGUGUCUGGGCCCCGGUCGGUACGCCCUUGACCCCGCUGCCCUCCUGGGUCAGGAGGACCAGUUCUGCUGUCCCCCAGGCCUGACUCUCGCGGGGCUGCCAUGGCACACUGCGGUCAGAGCGCUUGGCCUCUCUCUGGGCCUCCAGGCAGGGCCUGGGCUCUCUGGAGACUCAUCCCCUGGACCAUUCACCUCCGCUUCCAAGACGGCCCCCUGCCCAGGGAAGCGGUCCUGAGGCCCUCUGCCCCUCCUGCAGUGUUGGGCAUGUGGACUCUGCCUUCAGGUGUCCAGAGGGAGUUCCUCACUGAGGGCGUGAGAUUCUAGGAGUGGACAGACCUAGGCCAAGUGGCCAGCAUGUCCCAGGUUGGCCCCGGAGACGGCAGCACACUCCCUGCUUUGGGUGCCGUGGCCCACCACCUGCGUGGUCUGGGACCCUGGGUGCCCUCGGAAGCCUGGUGGGUGACCAGGCCUGGCAAGAGCAGGGAGUGCUCCAAGGGGGUGCUCGGGCUCUGGAGCUGGGCCUUCGCCAGCAGCCUCAGGAUCCAGCCCUGGCUGUGGCCACACCCGGGACUCCAGGGAGGACGGUCAUGCAGGGCCAGCGGGUCCUUCUGCCUCCCCUGGGGGGAGCCCAGCUAGGGGGGUAGGGGCCCAGCUGGGCUGGUAACCAACACCUGCAUGUCCACUCAAGGCCGCGGGCAGGCAGCAGGCUGGCCUGCCCCACCCGGCCCCUUCUGGGUCUAUUUUUGCUCUCUGACAACACAACAGAGGUAGCCGCUGGGACUUAUCUCUAGGACAGAGGCAGCUUUGUGCCCCGGCCCCUGGGCCUCCUCUCGUGACAAGAGCCCGUGGGGGAGGGGCUCCCUGACCAGACACCUCCCCAGGCUCUGAGGCCCUGCUCCGGGGAGGCCCCCAGCCAGCCAGUCCCCUGGCCAGGGCCAGGCGUUCCAAGAUGUCUCCGCAAGCCCGAGGGGGUCUCCUUCAGCCUCAAUGCCCCUCUGCCUCCCAGGCUCUGAGGCCCGCGCUGCCCGGCCACCAGCUCCCCGUCCAGGGAAGUCCCACGUCUCCUCCCCAGGGCCUGAGGUGAAGAGGUUGGGCAGAUGAUCUUAGCACAGACCGAGAGCCAGCUGGGAGGACGGCAGAACUGGGGGCUCCUGCGACAGGCCGCGGGGUUCCUGCUGGCUGGGCCGUCCUGCCCCUGCAUCUCUGCAACCAGGACUGCUGGACACCUCGAGGAGCCCAGCAGAAGAUGGCCAGCUGCACCCCUGUGUCACCAUCACGCUCCCCAGUGGCUGGCAGGAGUGAGCACAGUCGCCAGGCCAGGGGUCACCAUGGGUCAGCUCUGCAGCCCAGGAUGAGCCUGCUGGGUGCUGAUCUCAGGCAUCAGUGCCACUUCCCUGCCUUAAGGUGGUCAGGCUGGCCUUGAGCCACACCCACACAGUGCAGCCUGGAGGUAUGUUCCUCGAGGGGAGGGCCACCAGGGCUUCUCUGUCCUCAGAGCACCUCCUGACUGGGGCCACCUCCAGACCCUCCUCCUGUAGUCCUUCAGUCAAGGUGUGACUGUUGGUGGUCCACCUAGUAAUGGGCACAUCUCACCAAGGACCCAGUCAAGACUUCCUCCUACAGCCAGGCAUGGGGGUGCAUGCCUGUGAGCCCAGAGACCCGAGAGGCUGAGGCAGGAGGAUCUCAGGUUGGAGGCCAGCCUCAGUAGUUUAGUGAGACUUUGUCUCAAAGCAAAAACUAAAAUGGGCUGGAGAUGUAGCCCAAUGGUUAGGCACCCUGGAUCCAAUCCCCGGAACCAAAAUAAAAAGCCCAGUCAAGACAAAUGAAAAGACUGGGUCUUGCCGAUGACGGAGGGCCAGGUGGUCUGGGUGCCCUCUUCACCACCUGGACCAUGAAUGUGAGAGGCGGGGAGGAGCCCCGGGGACUUCGUGGGGACGCAGCCACCUGUCUGGUCACCAAAUCUGCCUUGAGAUGAGAGCCACAGCUCCGCAAGCCCAAACCGGGAGCAGGCGCACAGCCGCAGCGGACCCUGGCUCUGAGGUCUGCUCGCUGGGCCAGGACGGGCAUGAAGCCCGCCCUCGAGGGUCCCUGCAUGACCUACCCAACGGCAAGACACCAGGGACGUGCAGAUGGCCUCAUUCCACGACUCUGGAAGUCAGCCUUACGCAGGGUGGACGCACGCCGGAGUCCGAGGAGCCCCGUGCCGCCCCCCCCCCCCAGGAAGGCGCCACCGUCACGGCCACCCCAUCCAGGCUCCGGAAAGCCCUCUGCAGCAGCUGCGGUCAGUGCCCACCCACAAGCCCCUGCUUCCUCACCACGGGUCAGCUCUGCUCCUCCUGGGCUCUGUGAGAAGUCACUGGACAGGGCAGAGCCCGCCUCCUCCCUACCUGAUGCUGCCUCGGGGCUUCCAAGGUGCGCCCUCCCUGCCAGCUGCCCUCUGUGGGGGCCAUCUCUGCCCAGCCAGUGCCCCUGGGAGGGGGUCCCAGCCGCCCUCUAGUUGACCUGUCCUCAGCAAAGCUGCUCUAAGUGCUCUCUCAAAGGACUGUGCUUGGCCUCUCGUGGGCGUGCCUCUUGGGGGAGAGCUGCUGCCGGGGCAGGAGAAGGCUGGCCUUGGUCUCCAGAGGACAUGCGGGCCUUCCCGGUCCCACCAGCUGCCAGCUGCUCCGCAUCCCCUGCCCCAGGGAGGGGAGCGUCUGUGAACCCAGCUGUCUGGGGGAGGGGACGCCCCGCCCUGUGCUUUCAGCUGCCGGUCCCCGGCCUGCUGACACCGGCAGUUCCUCCCUUCUGUGUCCUCCUUCAUGGAUUUAUUUUUUGGUUCCAGGGAUUUAACCCAGGGCUGCUUCACCACGGACCCACAUCCCAGCCCAUUUCGAGACAGGGUCCUGCUAAGUUGCUCAGGGCCUCACCCAGCUGAGGCUGUCCUUGGACUUGCAAUCCUCCUGACUCAGCCUCCCAAGCUGUUGAGAUUACAGGCGUGGGACGCUGCGCCCAACACUGACCAUUUUAACGAAGGCAAGUCUGUCCCUUCCUCCUCUCCUCUGUCACUGCUUUGGUGUUGGCACGAGAACACGGUCCCCGGCAUUUUAUUUUGCAGGCAGCCACAGGAAGUGGCCGCUGAGGGCAGUGCUGGCCCCGGUGAGUGGGAGAAAGGGCCGCAGUCCCCCACCUGUUCCCCUGCUCUCCCGGCCCCACUGCCCGAGGCGGCCCCAGAUGGAGGCCUGGGGCCACCCACUGGCGGGCACUGCAGUGAGGGUGUGUGGGCCCCUCCCCGGGAGGACAGUGCCCAAGCGUGGCUCCUGGCAGGGCUCACUCUGCACGCUGAUCCGCAAGGGGCCAGGCCAUGCUGGGCCCCCUGGACCAUGGGCCUCCUCCACCUCUCCGUCUCCAGCUGUGGCUCUCUGGGCUCCUGCACUGUUGGGAUUGAGUCAACUCCUACAAAGUGACUCGGGGGUUUCUUUGAGGUUCCAAGCAACCAUCUGGACCUGGCACCCGUGACUGGGUGACCUCCCGCUUUCCAUCUGUCCGUCACUCUCAGCUGCGUGUCCUAGGUCUGAGCACAGGUAAUAACACACUUAGAUCCAUUCCUAAGUAUUCUAUAUGUUGACACCUGUCGAGAGCCACAGCCGAAGGGCCCCAGCAAACUUCCAGCUGAUUGGCUCAUUGCAGCCCCAGCAAACUUCCAGCUGCCAGCUGAUUGGCUCCUCUGCGGUGAUGCUCAUUGGGCUAUUUCCCUGCUCUUUCAGACCACGGAGCUGCUCAUUGGGGGAUUCUUUUGGCUCCGCCCACACGACCCAGCCAAUCGGCCUCAAGAGCAGGAGGAGUGGGGGUUGAGAGGCUGGUGGGAAGCCAGUGGUGGCAGUUGGGC